AACCCCUAUCUUUAGUUGCCAUCAGUUCGGCUGGGCACUCUAUGGAGAACUGCCACCUAAAGUGGAGGAAGGUGGGGAUGACGUCAAGUCAGCAUGGCCCUUACGUCCGGGGCUACACACGUGCUACAAUGGCCGGUACAAAGGGUUGCGAAGCCGUGAGGUGGAGCGAAUCUCAAAAAGCCGGCCUCAGUUCGGAUUGGAGGCUGCAACUCGCCUCCAUGAAGUCGGAAUCGCUAGUAACCGCAGAUCAGCUACGUUGCGGUGAAUACGUUCCCGGGCCUU
rnacentral:rRNA from 1 species